rnacentral:rRNA from 1 species
UGUAAGCGUAUACCAAAGUUGUUGCGGUAAAAAAGCUCGUAGUUGGAUUUCUACCGAAGAUAGCCGGUCGGGUCUUCGACCUUGUAUCUGGUUUUGUCUUUGGUAUCCUCAUAGGGAACGUUUCUGCGCUUUAUUGCGUGGUGCGGUAUCUAUGACUUUUACUUUGAGGAAAUUAGAGUGUUCACGGCAGGCAAACGCCUUGAAUAUAUUAGCAUGGAAUAAUAACAUAGGAUCUUCGUCCUAUUUUGUUGGUUUCUAGGGCUAAGAUAAUGAUUAAUAGGGAUAAUUGGGGGCAUCUGUAUCAACGCGUCAGAGGUGGAAUUCUUGGAUUGCGUUGCGACAAACUACUGCGAAAGCAUUUGCCAAGGAUGUUUUCAUUGA